CUGUGUAUAGAAGUAUCUGCCCCUCAUUCCUUCAGGGACAGGAAUACAUCUAUCACAUGCUAUGUUAAAAAAGGAAUUCUUGGGCUGGGGUUGUGGGUCAGCAGUAGAGUGCUCGCCUAGCAAGUGUAAGGCCCUGGGUUCCAUCCUCA